rnacentral:rRNA from 1 species
AACGAACGCUGGCGGCAUGCCUAACACAUGCAAGUCGAACGCCCUCUUCGGAGGGAGUGGCGCACGGGUGCGUAACGCGUGGGAACCUGCCCUUAGGUUCGGAAUAACUCAGAGAAAUUUGAGCUAAUACCGGAUAAUGUCUUCGGACCAAAGAUUUAUCGCCUUUGGAUGGGCCCGCGUUGGAUUAGCUAGUUGGUGGGGUAAAGGCCUACCAAGGCGACGAUCCAUAGCUGGUCUGAGAGGAUGAUCAGCCACACUGGGACUGAGACACGGCCCAGACUCCUACGGGAGGCAGCAGUGGGGAAUAUUGGACAAAUGGGCGAAAGCCUGAUCCAGCAAUGCCGCGUGAGUGAUGAAGGCCUUAGGGUUG